rnacentral:lncRNA from 1 species
UACAUUUCAUUCAUAAAAUUCAAGCACAGGUGCGUGGAAUUUACUACGAUUUACUACAGUUGCUACAAUUGGAUCUUCACAAAAAUACAAGACAUACAGUUGGAUUAUUCAGUGGAUUAUUACUAUGAACUGGUAAAUUAUUACAUGAACUUCAACUGGUUUAUCAAAUAUAUACAAAUGACAGUAAUUCAAUAUUUCUACAAGAAUCAUAAUAUUGUAAUUGUUCUAACUUUACUUUAUUAAAUGUUAAUUAAAACUUAUUUGCUUCAAUUAUCAUAUGUUCCAGACUACAAGCAUUACAAGUAGUAUAAUACAAGUUAUUUCACACAGUUACUGUUUCCUACAUAAUAACUUACAUAAAAAAUACAGAAUAUUAAACAGUAUGCUUUAUUAAUACCAAUUUAAAACAUACAUCAAAAAUAUCUUACAUGUCUAUAACACGUCACAAUAAAAUACAUGUACCCUAGUCGUCGUACUCUACAUUUUACCCCCUUUCCAUUAUUUGCGUCCCCGCAAAUACUUUAAACUUUUGCAAAAGUUUCCAUUUAAAAUUUUUCUAUGUCUUAAAAUACAUAUUCUUCUUAAAAAGAAAUUAUUUCUAAAACUGGAUGAAAUUAGCUUUCUUAUUAAUACAAUCUAUGAUUAUAACACAAAUACAUCAUAAUAUAAUACCAAUUAUGUAAAAAUUAUACAUAAAUAUAUAUAUUUUUAUAUAUUUUACAGAUACACCAGAAGAUUCAACAUUGUGACCAUCAGCAUGAGGGCGGUAGAUACCAGAUAAACAUACAUAUAUAUACCAAAUGUGGAAAAUUACUGAAGUACGUUAUGAACAAACUGGAACAUGGCUAAGAACCAGAGGUUUCUGAAGGAAAAUUUUAGUUACCAUGCAAACAGUACCAAAAU